rnacentral:rRNA from 1 species
GCUUACAGCCACACCGCCCUGGUUCACGCCCGAUCUCGUUUGAUCUCGGAAGCUAAGAUAGGUUGGGCCUGGUUAGUACUUGGAUGGGAGACCGCCUGGGAAUACCAGGUGCUGUAAACU